UACAGUGGCGUACGGGUGAGUAACACGUGGGUGAUCUGCCUUUUAGUGGGGGAUAUCUCUGGGAAACCGGAGUUAAUACCGCAUAAGCUCGGAAGAGGAAAGCCGAAAGGCGCUGAGAGAGGAGCCCGCGGCCGAUUAGCUAGUUGGUGAGGUAACGGCUCACCAAGGCUGAGAUCGGUAGCCGGCCUGAGAGGGCACACGGCCACACUGGCACUGAAACACGGGCCAG
rnacentral:rRNA from 1 species